rnacentral:rRNA from 1 species
UACGAAGGGUGCAAGCGCUAAUCGGAAUUACUGGGCGUAAAGGGUGCGUAGGCGGUUCGUUAAGUCUGUCGUGAAAUCCCCGGGCUCAACCUGGGAAUGGCGAUGGAUACUGGCGAGCUAGAGUGUGUCAGAGGAUGGUGGAAUUCCCGGUGUAGCGGUGAAAUGCGUAGAGAUCGGGAGGAACACCAGUGGCGAAGGCGGCCUUCUGGACCAAUACUGACGCUCAUGCACGAAAGCGUGGGGAGCAAACAGG